UCGUAAAUAGAUAAUCAAUUAUCUAUCAAUUCUUUUUUUUACUCUUUUUUAUCAAUGCAGAAAGAACAAAAAAAAGAGACGAAAAAAAGAGAAGAAAGUAAAAUAGAGUAAAAAAAAAUUGAAGAAAACAGGAAGAAAUGGAGAAAAAAUCAAUGAUUUUAAGCAUACACCAAACAUUAACGAGGUGUUGAGAAGCAGGAUUAUCCACGACGAAGAGGUCAAACACAUUGUCGAUCGUCAAGGUUACUUAAACGAUCGUUUCUAAGUUACAGUAAUACGCGCGUGCGUAUUCGCUCGCAAGUUCUUAUUCAUAGCCCUGUAUCAAUUCUUUAAAAUUUCUAACUCGAGUAUAGAGGCUAGCCGUCCUUGCCAGAUGUCUCAAUUUUCAGUGUGGUAUGCAGCGCCUAUGAGUAAUACAUCCGCGUAUCGCAACAAACCAGAAAUGGCAAUCGCGCCGCGUUGCGACAGUCAAUGCUACCACGAGGAAAAAAAUAAUGUUCGAGAGACGCGCCGCGCCGGAGAACGCCUGCCUUUCGUUUGCUAGUUUACUUGGAAACGCGAUGGCCAAUUGUCUUUUCCGUUCCCGAUAUCGAAGGUAUCAUUUAUAAGAUGAUAUCGAAGAUAUUUUCUGGUGGUCAUAGCAUCCCCACCUACGCAGACAGUAUUCGCUAACUCGCGAUGUAUGUUCAAGUAACUCGUUCUUCACAGUUCUACGCAUCGAAAUUCUUGCUGAUGCUCAUGUGAACGCAUGCAUCAUUCAUUCGUAAAACAAAUUUGCGUCGUAUGUACUCGCGUGUAUAUAUGCGUGUAGAUCAUAAUGACGCGUUAUACUUUUCGUCCUCGAUGACCGUACUUUUCAACGCAAUUCCGCUUCCUUGAUGGCGUGCUAUCAAAUUCGAUAACGAGCACUGAAACAGAUAAGACAUGAUCUUAGGUAUUUUUGGAAUCGAGCCGUUGAAUGAAAAUGCUUUAUCACGAAUAUAUAAGUAUAAUUGUAUAAUACAAUAAAUUUAAAAAGAAUCUUUUGUCUUUUAAAAAGUUUGUCUAAGGCUGAUUUCAAGAAGAGAAAUAAAAUAUUUUUAUUUUAAUUAUAAAAUUGUUGCAAAAAUUUUUUUAUCUUUUAAUAAAUGUUGACAAACAAUAUCUAGGAAAUAAUUAAAAUAAUGAAUUUAUUUUAUUUGUUGAAAGUCCGAUUAUAAUGUAUUUUUAAUAUAAAUUAUUUUAUUCUAAAAUUUUUAAGUAUAUAAUUUUUUCUUAAUUAGUUUAUUGUUAUACAUUAUAAUCUUGCAUGUUCUAAUUCUGAAUUGAGAUAACAAUGAAUAUAUGAUAAUUAAAUUAAAAUUCAAAUAUAUAUAUAUAUAUAUAUACAUACAAUAAGCAAGAAAUUUUCGCGUAAUAUUAUAAUCUAAGAAAAAUUAAGUUAUAAUAAUCUAUGAAAAUAUUUUAAAUUAAUAAAAAAUAUUUGUUUAAUAUAGUGUGUUUGCAAAAUAUAAUUAAAAAAAAUGUAAAUGUAAAUGUAAUUCAAAAUUAUACAAUUAUAUUAAUAAAAUUAAACAUUUUCUUUAAGCGUUUUCUAAAAAUUACAAAUAAAUUUUAAAAAAUAUAUGAUUCAAUCUUGAAAAUAUUGAUCCUAUAUUAUCAAUUAUUUUAAAAACAAAACAAAAAAAAAAUAAGAAGCACAAUAAAUUUUGCUCUAAUAUUUCUAUGCAAUUUUAUAAUACGACAAUCUCAACGAAUAUAAUUGAGAAUCUUCACGAGAUCUAGUAUCAUAAUAUAAUGACAUUAACUGAGUAGCCAACCCAUACUAACGUCGCGAAAUAUGUGAUUCUCGAAAAGCGUGUAUCCUCAUGGUAUAAUGCAGGAAUUUUCAUAAUGCAGACCGUGGAACAUUUUGAUAGAGUAGUUUUAGACUAGAAACUGGAGCAACAUAAUAGAGAAGUACUUGAACAUAAGAAUAUCGAAUCUACCGCACUACUUAUUUAUCCAAGUACAGGAUAUAUUAUAUUCUGAACUAGAAAAAAGAAAAAAAGAGAAACAAUUAGAAAUUAAUAAAAUUAAAUUUUAAAAAAAUGUCAAAAUAAAAUAAAAAUUAAUCAUAAGAAUUUUGUAUCUUUGCUACGAGAGUAAUUCCAAAAAAAAAAAUGCAUAUAUAUAUAAACAAUUUAUCAAAAUAUAAUAAGAGUUUUUUUGACUAUAAUAAAUUUUACUUAUUCAUCAAAUUUAUUCAUCAAAUUUAUCAAUAUUGUCAUAAAAUAAGAUUAAGUUUACUUUUUUGUCACAUUUAUAACUCUUAGACACUUUAAAGAAUCAUUUUUUAAUAAGAUUUUCAAGUUGUAUUGCAUUUGUGUUAAGAAUCUUAUAUUUAUUUCAUCAAUUAUAUUAUAUAUCAAUUAAGUGAGAAUAUCAAUUAUUAAAAUUUAAACAUAAAUUAACGUUUUUUUCUAUAUAUAUUAAAUUUUACAAUUUUUAAAAAUCAAAGAAUAAUUGAUCGAAUAAAUAUGGAUUUUAAUGUUUUGUUACGUCAUAUAUUAUAAUUAUAUCAUAUACUAUGUAUAAAAAGAGAAGAAAUCAAAAAACAAAAGCAAAAUAAAGAUUUAUAAAAUGA